rnacentral:misc_RNA from 1 species
AAGUCGUAACAAGGUUUCCGUAGGUGAACCUGCGGAAGGAUCAUUAAUGAAAUUAUAAUCCGGCGAGGGAAAGGCCGGGAGAACUGUCGCUGGCCCGCUUAAAACGGGCAUGUGCACGCUCUCUUUCUCGACCUUCGCCGUAUGGGCGUGUGGGGGGCCAACCCCCCCGCGUCUUCAUAUACCUCUUCGUGUAGAAAGUCUUUGAACGUUUUUAUCAUCGUCGAGUCGCGACUUCCAGGAGACGCGAUUCUUCGAGACAAAAGUUAUUACAACUUUCAGCAAUGGAUCUCUUGGCUCUC